ACAUCAUCUUAAAACAGCCCGCAAAACCGUCUUAUUUACGAAGGGCUUACUGCCUGCGCGCGCCCAUUCCAACGGCUUGCCUGCCCCGGAUGAACUGUUGAUAAAAAAGAGGGCCAGCAUCUGUUUCCAGACGGCCCUGAGUGGAUUGUGACGUAACAUGGCACCUUGCUGGCGCUCUCUUAUUAUUUCAUGCCUGUGCCCUCGUUAUGGCGCAAUCAGAGCU
rfam:Salmonella enterica subsp. enterica serovar Enteritidis str. LA5, WGS project CAGR02000000 data, contig: Scaffold03-Contig1